GCUGUGAUGGCCGAGUGGUUAAGGCGUUAGACUCGAAAUCCAAUGGGGUUUCCCCGCACAGGUUCAAAUCCUGUUUACAGCG